rnacentral:rRNA from 1 species
AUUGAACGCUGGCGGCGUGCUUAACACAUGCAAGUCGAACGAUGAACUUGGAGCUUGCUCUGGGGGAUUAGUGGCGAACGGGUGAGUAACACGUGAGUAACCUGCCCUGGACUCUGGGAUAACUUCGAGAAAUCGGAGCUAAUACCGGAUAGGACCUUGCACCGCAUGGUGUGGGGUGGAAAGUUUUUCGGUUUGGGAUGGACUCGCGGCCUAUCAGCUUGUUGGUGAGGUAAUGGCUCACCAAGGCGUCGACGGGUAGCCGGCCUGAGAGGGUGACAGGCCACACUGGGACUGAGACACGGCCCAGACUCCUACGGGAGGCAGCAGUGGGGAAUAUUGCACAAUGGGCGCAAGCCUGAUGCAGCAACGCCGCGUGCGGGAUGACGGCCUUCGGGUUGUAAACCGCUUUUAGUAGGGAAGAAGCCUUCGGGUGACGGUACCUGCAGAAAAAGGACCGGCUAACUACGUGCCAGCCGCCGCAGUAAGAC